rnacentral:rRNA from 1 species
CCUACGGGAGGCAGCAGUGAGGAAUAUUGGUCAAUGGUCGGGAGACUGAACCAGUCAAGCCGCGUGAGGGAUGAAGGUACAGAGUAUCGUAAACCUCUUUUGUCAGGGAACAAAGGCGGGGACGUGUCCCCGGAUGAGUGUACCUGAAGCAAAAGCCUCGGCUAACUCCGUGCCAGCAGCCGCGGUAAUACGGAGGAUGCGAGCGUUAUCCGGAUUUAUUGGGUUUAAAGGGUGCGCAGGCGGUCUGUUAAGUCAGCGGUCAAAGCCCGGGGCUCAACCCCGGCCCGCCGUUGAAACUGGCAGUCGCGAGUUGGAGAGAAGUAUGCGGAAUGCGCGGUGUAGCGGUGAAAUGCAGAGAUAUCGCGCAGAACUCCGAUUGCGAAGGCAGCAUGCCGGCUCCACACUGACGCUGAGGCACGAAAGCGUGGGUAUCGAACAGGAUUAGAUACCCUUGUAGUC